GACGAACGCUGGCGGCGUGCCUAAUACAUGCAAGUUGAGCGAUGAAGAUUGGUGCUUGCACCAAUUUGAAGAGCAGCGAACGGGUGAGUAACGCGUGGGGAAUCUGCCUUUGAGCGGGGGACAACAUUUGGAAACGAAUGCUAAUACCGCAUAAUAACUUUAAACAUAAGUUUUAAGUUUGAAAGAUGCAAUUGCAUCACUCAAAGAUGAUCCCGCGUUGUAUUAGCUAGUUGGUGAGGUAAAGGCUCACCAAGGCGAUGAUACAUAGCCGACCUGAGAGGGUGAGCGGCCACAUUGGGACUGAGACACGGCCCAAACUCCUACGGGAGGCAGCAGGAGGGAAUCUUCGGCAAUGGACGAAAGUCUGACCGAGCAACGCCGCGUGAGUGAAGAAGGUUUUCGGAUCGUAAAACUCUGUUGGUAGAGAAGAAAGUUGGUGAGAGUGGAAAGCUCAUCAAGUGACGGUAACUACCCAGAAAGGGACGGCUAACUACGUG
rnacentral:rRNA from 1 species